rnacentral:misc_RNA from 1 species
AGGGCGCCGAAGGUGGGGCUAGUGACUGGGGUGAAGUCGUAACAAGGUAGCCGUACCGGAAGGUGUGGCUGGAUCACCUCCUUUUAGGGAGACCUACUUACUAGAUGAAGGACUCACGACAUUUUCCUUCCUAGCUAAGUCAUCCCAAGGUCGGUCAAGGCUUCUUUAGCACUCUCUCAAACUAUUAUUGGCUCGGUUUUUUGGGCUAUUAGCUCAGGUGGUUAGA